rnacentral:lncRNA from 10 species
CCCGUGAUGAGUUGUUGUCCUGUCCAAGCCUGGCUCCCCAACCUUGUACCCUGAGCUGCUGAGAUUGGCUCUGGCUAAUCACGACCCUGAGCUGGAAUAAUUGGGCAAAACAAGAAUGAUAAUAGGCAUGUCUCAAGGUUGCUGUGUGGACCAGCUAAAGCCCUAUGUAAGAAAGCACUUCACAUACAGAAGAGGCCUAGUCCAAAGACGUUUACAUCCUGGAAGAGAACUUGCUGGCUUUUCACCUCAGCAUGUAUGGGCCAAACUAAUAUAACAAGAAGUCUUGAGAGGAGUCAGCGGCCAAGCUCCAUGUCUUGCAGCCAAACAAUGCUGUGGGAUGGAAGGUGGGAUGUCAUGUGUCUGGUUUACAGCACUCACGUAUCAGUUGGCAGUUAACGGAAGUGCUACUGAUUGGUGAUAUGCCUACUCCCCCUUCACCUUCGAUCAUGAUUGUAAACUUCGUGAGGACAUCACCAAAGGCUGACAUUGGCAACAUGCUUCCUGUACAAUCUGCAGAACAACGAUGGAACAAAAUAAACACCUUUUCUUUAUAAAUUACCCGGCUUCAUGUAUUCCUU